AGGGUUGAGGAACAGUAGAUUUAACUUUAUAUUCCCUCUCCCUCCCUCCCAAAGUCUGCACUUUAAAUUCAGACCCUGUUGAUUGUGAGUGAACUGUAAAAAAGACCAAGGAUCUGAUUCAGGAAAGCUUUGGAACAGUAGCGUUCUUCCACUGCUGGAAAAGAGAAAAUAUAGUCCUUUAAGUAUACUUCUGUAGCGGAGGGCGCAGGAAUAUCUGUGCCAAUUAACUGACUCACUUUGCUCACAGAAGUUACAAAACAGCAUUUCAGCAGAGGAUGCAGAAGCUUGAGUGACGCUACAGACAAAAGCCUGUCAAUCCAUUUCAAGUCCCAUUUCAAAGCUGAUCAGCUGGAGAAGAACAACAUACCUUGUCCAUCUAAGCAACAUGGCUGUGAAGGGAAUGUCUCUGAUAUGUCUGUUAUUCAUUGCUACGUCUGUCAUCAGCAUCUCUCGCGCUCAGAACCCCAUGGCCUUCAGACGGAAACAUCUGACCCUGCUGGACACCAUAGACCACAACAGAUGUACUAGUGAAAUGAGAAACAAACGGAUCGCGAUGACUAGAGAUGGCUGUAAAAAACUCAACACCUUCAUUCAUGCUCCCGAGGAGGUUAUCGAUGCCACAUGCACCAUGGGGAGAGUGCAUGUCAUAAAGGGCCAAGAGUAUAAAAAGAGUAUCAGUAAAUUCAGGGUCACUAAUUGCAGGCUCUCUGGGGAAUACCCUAAUGACUGCGAGUACCUGGCAGAAAAGAGCGCCUGGAAAUAUAUAGUCAUCUCUUGUGACCAGAACGAUCGCCCAGUGCAUUUUGCAGGGACGCUGAACUGGUAGGAGUCAGGAAGUGGAGAAGGGGUUUAUUCCUAAUGCUUCGGGGGUGCUGCUGCCUCUUCUGCUGCAAAUCAUACCAUUUAACCUGUCGCCUAAACGUACUAUUUUGAGAGUGAUUUGAAAUGCUGGAGCCUCAGCAACAAGGGGACACUGCUCUCUGAUGGGUCUAGCAGUGGGAGAGCAGCAGAGAGAUGGAGGAAGGAAUAAUAAUGAUGCUUAGCAGUUUUAUAGCCCUUUACAUUUUCAAAGCAUUGCACCAACAUUAUGGAAAUGAAGGGGAGUGGCUGAAAGAGGGGAAUGGGGGGAUUAGGGUGGGGGAAGAGGAUUGUUGAGAAUGAGAAGCAAGAUGGUUAUAGGGUCUGAUCCCAAACUCAGUGAAGUCAAUGGACUUUAGAUCAGCCCCAUAGUGAGAGACGGAAGCAGGGGGAUCUGGAAUGGGAAUUAGUAAGGAAGGCAUGGAGGAUGGUCCAGUGGUUAGCCUGGGAGACCUGGUGACAAUUCCCGUUCUGCCACAGACUUCCUGUGUGACCCUGGGCAAGUCUUUUAGGGCCAGAUUUGUAAAGGUACGUCGGUGCCUACAGAUGCAGAGAGGCCCCUGGUGCGAUUCUCAAAAGAGCCUAGCCCCAUAAGGCCUGACGGGAAUGAUGAUUUUCAAGAUCCCUUCACUUCCCUGUGAAAAAGCCAUCGACUUUGCUGGGUUUGGGAUCAGACCCUAUAACCUUCUCAUUUCCCAUCCUCAACACCCUCCUCCCCCACUUCCCUCUCUUAGCCACUCCUUUUUAUUUCUGUAGGUAGCUAAAGACCUUAACAAUUCUAGCCCUUAGUCUCUUUGUGUCCCCGUUCCCCGUCUGUACCAUAGGGUUAAUAGCACCAGCCUGUCUCACAGGGGUGCGGUGAGGAUGAGUAUCUGAAAGAUUGUGUGGUGUUCAGAUUGUACAGUUAUAGGGGGCCACAUAAGGUAGAGAGGAGAGUAUAGAUUACGGGGUGGGAGACUGGUGAGGAAGAGACGAGACACGAGGGGGA